AUGCCUGAUGGGUACAGAGCAUUCCAGAAGGUAAUGAAGGCAGCUGGGCUGAUUCACAGCUUCCUGGGGUGGUUCUUCGCCUCAAGAGCACCUGGGGGCUGUGUGCAACUGCAGGUGGCUGGCCCUGCCUCCAGGCUUUCUGAUACAGGAGAUCUGGCAGAAGAAGUCCAAUGCUGUGCAUUUCUGGUAAGUUCCCAGAUGAGGAGACUGCUGCAGGCUUGGGCUGUCCAUGUUACAGACAACUAAGUUUGAACCAGCAGUACCCCUUUAGCCACAGAUUUGAAAUUACCUUUGAUCAAUCACAAUUGAAAUAUAUUGAGUGGAAAACGCUAGAAAUAAACAAUUCAUAAAUUUUUUAUUUAAUAUUGUU
rnacentral:lncRNA from 1 species